UUCACAUACGAACCGGGGUGAGGCUGCGGUGCAUGUUUUUUUUAUGAUGGUGGGGGAAACCGGAGUACCCGGAGGAAACCCACGCAGACACGAGGAGAACAUGCAAACUCCACACAGAAAGGACCUGGAACGACCGGGAUUCGAACCCAGGGCCUUCUUGCUGUGAGGCGACAGUGCUAACCACUGAGCCACCGUGCUGCUGUAUAUGUGUGUAUAUAUAUAUAUAUCUAUCUCCACCUGGUCUUCAGAGUAGCUCAGAGGACCUUCUCUCUGGUCUUAACACAAAGAGUUGAUUCACCAGCGCUGACCGAGUCUUCGUCUCACCUUCGUCUCACCUUCGUCUCACCUUCGUCUCACCUUCGUCUCACCUUCGUCUCACCUUCGUCUCACCUUCGUCUCACCUUCAUCUCACCUUCGUCUCACCUUCGUCUCACCUUUGUCUCACUAGGCCGCAAGGUGAACAUCGAAAAGUCCUUUAGAAAAUGAAUCCCGCUCCACAGUCGCGCAUCUACACAAUAUUUAGUUCAUAAAAAAGAAAGUCGUGCUUAGCUACCAAAAAAAAGUUUGUCGCUGAAUUUGCCGUCGAUUCUCGAUGCGACUAUGUUUUAUGCCGAACUAGUUUCUUCAGAGCGUAAUAGGAUCUUGGUCACGAGGGGUGGCACGGUUCGACACGUGAUCGGUCUACACCAAUGAGGUAGCUGCUUUUUGUCAACAGAAUGGCAAGAUGGCGUCCUCGAGCAGUACGGAAGACGAAGAAAAUACACCGGAAUAUAUUAAUAAAUCAAAAAACAAACAUUGUUUUAUGCAUAUUACUUCAGUGAAGCACGAGGAGGUACAUUAUUUCACCACGAUGGAAUACAUACAGGACAAGCCUACACACGUGGCUCGGGUUGGACGGUGAGUCUCGGGACGUGGCUGAGAACUUCGAACACUGUGUUGAUGUGGAGUUUGACAAUAUUCCCGAGGAUGCUGGCUGCCAUCACACGUGCUACCGUAGAUUUACGGACAAAAAAUCCAUGGCAAAGGUGGAAAGAAGGAGAAGUUCGUCAACCGAGCAGGCAAACGACAAAGGGAUACUCUGUCAAAGGCUGAAACAUUAACAGCAGGCCAAUUGCAGAAAGCUGCCGAGUUGAAGGAGGACCAAAGUAUUCUUUUGCAUAUAAAAGACAAAGACUGUGUGGCUCUGGAGGUGCAGUACCACAAAGGCUGUUAUAAUCAGUACACCAAGUUUUUGACGAGGCCUGAAAAACCAGAGAAAGACCAGAAUGAGCCCACGUUUGAUGUCAGCGAUAAGAUAUUCUGUGAAAGGAUCAUUGGCCAAAGGCUGCUUGUCAACCAAGAGGUGCUGAGAAUGGGCUGAGGAAGGCCUUCAUUGAACUGGUGAAAGCAAAUGAAGACAGGAUAUGUUGAAGGAGAGGCUGGCUCGUGAUUUCCCCCAGCUGGUGUUUCACAUCCCCACCAAGCGCAACAUCUGCCAGCUGGUUUUUGCAGAGACCCUGUCAACCAUUGACAUUACCAAGGUGUCAUCAGCUCUCGGAACCAGUGUGUGUUCAGCCUUGAUCGGAAUUCACACAUUCUCUGGGUGUGACUCCACAAGUGCCUUUUAUGGCAAAGGGAAAAAAAAGACAUUUUCUGUUGCAUGUGAGAAAGGUGAGUACCUAAAGGCUUUUAAAAGUUUAGGUACUCACUUUAACUUGGAGCAGUCAACAUUUGCACUUCUUUGCCAGUAUGUGUGCCGCUUAUAUGAUCAGCCAGCUGCCGAUAAUGUAAAUGAAGCUAGGUACAAGGCUUUCUGUAUGGCAUCAUCAGCCUUGCCAGAAAUAUGCAUUCCCCCAACUACUGAUGCCCUCCAACAGCACUGCAAACGGGCAAACUACCAGGCUGCAAUAAUGAGGUCCUGUCGCAAACAAAAAAGAAGUACUCCGUCACCUGCUGGAUAUGGUUGGCAAAGAGAGGAUGGGACCUUGCACAUCACCUGGAUGACCAGAAAUCCGGCCCCUGACAGUGUUUUGCAUGUGAGACACUGCAGCUGCAAAGGUGCCUGUGAGACAGGAAGAUGUUCCUGUUUCUCUGCAGGAUUGUGUUGCACAGACUUCUGUCGUUGCUGUAAUUGUGCCAACACCAAAGACACCGAGCAACUGGAAGACAAGUGUCCUGACACUGACAGUGAGGACUGAGCGUCCUUAAUAUGUUAUUUCUUUUGUAGUUUUGUACAGUUUUAUAUAUGUCAUAUUUUUCAUAAAGAUUGUUUCUAUUGUU